GUACCAUUUUUUAUGCGUCAAGAAAAUAAAAAAAUAAAUUGAAAAAAAUCUUGACACAAAUGAUCAUAAUUCAUGCAUUAAAGGGUUAAAGUAAGCAGUUUAGCUAUUUUUUUGUCUCAGGUUUGUAGACUGCCUUGAGAAGCAGUCCACUAAAAUAAGCAUUUCAGCUAUUUUUGUCCCCCUCUCAGGUUAGUGGGCUCCCUUGCUCAGUCUUUUUUAAAAAUAAGCAUUUUAACUAUUGUUGUUGCCUUUUUAACAUUUGUUGUUUUGCAAAGCUGACUGGUCAACAGAAGAGUAUGUCAUACUCGCUGGAAAAUGUCAAUCUCUGAUUGGCUGACACCUAGCAUCUUGUUUCUACACCUGUGACAUUAGGUGCUAUAAAUCUGUCAGCCAGCUGUGUUGACAGUCUCAAAAAAGCUAUUUUGUUGCAUUUUUUUAAAUUGUUGUUUUGCUGAGCUGACUGGUCAGCUGUAGGACACCUCAUACACGCUGGAAAAUGCCAAUCUCUGAUUGGCUGACAUGAAUUCCCAAGCUGCUGAAGCUUCUGGAACUUUCUGGCACUCUCUGCUUCCGAGUCUGCUACGGUCAAGUACCACCUGACCAUACAGGCGGUGUCUUCGGUGGAAAACUCCCUGGAGACGCUGCUGGAUUUACUGCAGAAAUACCGGGAGAAAGCUGGGGACAAAGUGGCCGAAAAGGGCGGCAGCAUCUUCACCAAAGCCUGCUUCCUUCUCGCUCUGCUGCUGCAGGACGAGCGCCACGCUCAGGAGGUGGUGAAGCUGCCUAAAGUUUUGGACCGAAUAGGCAGCAUCUACAGGCUCACGGCGCGGAAACACAGGAUGGACAAAGAGCGCAGCAUCACCAGGCAGAGAAUCAAUGGGAGCUUCUACGUCCCGCCGACGCUGCGCAAAUCCAAACCGCCACCAAAGUAGGCAGCAUCUGAUCUGUAAAAACCCAAACAGGACUUCUGGUUCUGUGGGAACUAAAAUGCUGUUUUCUAUGGAGCUAAAUUAGUGUCGGAAAGAUUCACAGUAAGAUCUGUGUCAAGUUAAAACAGCAAAUUUGUGAGUGCAUUACCAUCUCCACUCAACUGGCACGCACCUCACAGGAAAUCAAGCGCACCAAUCUCUCUCACUCAGGCCUUCAGGAGCCUAUAAAGCAACUCGGCACACCUGUGUUCUGAAUGAUCCCUUCAGACAAAGAACUCAGCUUCAAGCUCCUACAGAGACACCACUGGUAGAAAAUGAACAUUAAAUCAUUUAACCUGCAUUCAGAGGACCUAGUUGAUGGAAUGGGUUUAUGUUUGGAAUGUAGUUUGUUUUGU